UAGAUAAAUUUUUUAUGUUUUAAUAAUUUUAUUAUAAAUUUAUUUUACAUAUAAAUUUUAGUGAGGAAUUUUAAUUAUUUUAAUAAUAAUUAAUUAUUAAAGUAGUAAUUAAUAUUAAAAAUUUAAGAAAUUAAGAUUUAGUAAUAUUAAAAUUAAUAACUAAUUUUGUGCCAGCAGUUGCGGUUAUACAAAAAUUAAAUUAAAUUAUUUCAGUUUAAAUAAAUAAUUUUAAUUAAAGUAAAUAUUAAAUUAUUAAGUGAAAUUUUAAUUUAAUUAAAUUUUAUUUUUAAAUUAUGAUUUAAUAAAUUUUAAUAUAAACUAGGAUUAGAUACCCUAUUAUUAAAAAAUUAAUUUAUAUUACUAAAAUAGUAAAUAAUUAUUUAUUGAAACUUGAAUAAUAUGGCGGUAUUUUAGUUCAUUUAGAGGAAUCUGUUUAAUAAUUGAUAAUCCACGAAUAAAUUUACUUAAUUUAAUAUUUUGUAUAUCAUUGUUAAAAAAAUAUUUUUAAAUAAAAAUAAUAUUUAAAUUUUUAAAUAAAAAAUUAAUUCAGAUCAUGAUGCAGAUUAUAAUUAAGAAUAUAAUGGAUUACAAUAAAUAUAUUUAAAUGAAUAAUAUUAUUGAAAAUUAUAUUUGAAAGUGGAUUUAAAUGUAAUUUUAAUUAGUUUAUUAAAAUGAUUAAAAAUUAAAAUAUGUACAUAUUGCCCGUCACUUUCAUUUAAAAGUUGAAAUAAGUCGUAACAAAGUAGAUGUACUGGAAAGUGUAUCUAGAAAGAA
rnacentral:ncRNA from 1 species